rnacentral:rRNA from 1 species
AUACGGAGGAUGCGAGCGUUAUCCGGAUUUAUUGGGUUUAAAGGGAGCGUAGGCGGGAGCUUAAGUCAGCGGUUAAAUGGUGCGGCUCAACCGUGCCCUGCCGUUGAAACUGGGUUUCUUGAGAGUGCAAGAGGCGGAUGGAAUUAAUUGUUUAGCGGCUGAAUUAUUAGAAAUCAUGUAGAGCACCGAUUGCGAAGGCAGUCCGAUGAGGAACGUCUUACGCUGUGACUCUAAGAUGCGGGAAUCAAACAGGAUUAGAUACCCUGAUAGACCUCACGGUAAACGAUGAUCUCCCUCUGUCGACGGUAGACAGUCGGCGGCCAAGCGAAAGCGAAAAGUAAUCCACCUGGGGAGUACGCCGGUUACGGUGCAUCUCAAAUGAAUUGACGGGG